rnacentral:rRNA from 1 species
UUAUCCGGAUUUAUUGGGCGUAAAGGGCUCGUAGGCGGCUCGUCGCGUCCGGUGUGAAAGUCCAUCGCUUAACGGUGGAUCUGCGCCGGGUACGGGCGGGCUGGAGUGCGGUAGGGGAGACUGGAAUUCCCGGUGUAACGGUGGAAUGUGUAGAUAUCGGGAAGAACACCGAUGGCGAAGGCAGGUCUCUGGGCCGUCACUGACGCUGAGGAGCGAAAGCGUGGGGAGCGAACAGGAUUAGAUACCCUGGUAGUCCACGCCGUAAACGGUGGACGCUGGAUGUGGGGCACGUUCCACGUGUUCCGUGUCGGAGCUAACGCGUUAAGCGUCCCGCCUGGGGAGUACGGCCGCAAGGCUAAAACUCAA